ensembl:lncRNA
CGGCAACACAGAGUGUAGAAGACAUUUUAGAGGCACAGAGGAAGUAAAGUAAAUGGAAAGAUGCCAGAAAACAUACACACGCUGAGGGAUGUUUUACGUUAUCUGUAGCAAUGAGAGGGCGGUUUGGGUUUGAGUUCCUGCCAAACUUGAGCCUCCACACACAGCUCCCCAAGCAGCAGCUGCUCAAACUGAUUGCAGCACAAAACAGCUGACUUUGAACUUCCAGACCUUUUCGUCAACACUGGAACAGCUGCGGCUGAAAAGAAUGAAAGUCCUGUACCCGUCGUCCAGCUGGCUAGCGGUGUAAACUUUUCCUAAUACGGUGAGCGUGACGGAGUUAUCCGUGUGUCUCCUGAUGCUCUUGUGCUUCAUGUCCCUUACUCCCGAACAUGUCCCACUGGAUCUGUCCCCGUUGAUUUAAAAACCAAGUAUGGGAAUCAAAAGGUGGUGUUAGCACGAAUGCAUCCAGCUAGCUAAACCUUCCCGUGUAGCAUCUCUACAGAAGCUUUUGCAUGUGUGACUUCCCUUUCACGCCAGUCCGUUUUUUCGCCAGAGUUCUUCUGUCAAACGAGUCUUGGAGGACAGAUUUGACCAAGUUUCGGUUGGCUCGCCAUUGUCAUGCCAAUAAAACGGUGCCUCGCAACACUUGCCCUGACGAGAGCGCAGCCUUGAGGCCAAACAACGAAGGCUGAAUCUAUUUUAGGAAGCUGAUUGGCUAAAUGAUGUAUCACACAUUUAUAUCUGUAAUCAGUAAUUGGCUAAACUGCUUGUUAAACCCGCCUCCUUUGGGUCUGGGCCGAGCCCAGCUGAGACAUGGUGACAGGCGCAGAGGAGGUGCAGGAAAAGCCUAUAUUUGGUACAGAUAUCUUAUUUGACAAAAACGACUGGGUAUAGUCCAUAUUUCAGAAACACAAAUACACAAAUAUUGACAAUUUAUCAGAUGUAUUAUUAAUAUUAUUUUUUUGGGCUCAAGGUGGGGCCAGGCCCCAUGGCCCUCUAUGGGCCAGCCGCCACCGUUUAAAGGAUAUAAUCAUAUUAUUAGCUGGAAAUGUAAAAACAGAAACACUGGAACUCUCUUCUUGGCAGAAUAGAUGAGGCUUUUGUAUUCCAAAAUACCUCAGUAUUGUUUAGUAUAUUUUAAAUUUCAUUAAUAAUAAACAGGCUUAUCCGUCAGCCUGAGGCUGUAGCUGGCGGUCAGUCAGGCUCCAAUCAGUGAGGUCAAAUCAGGAGCGCUCAGUAAAUCGAACCAGCUGGCAUAGUGGGGAAAAGAGAAGUUACAGCAAAUUAAAACUGACUCGCCAGAGCAUUGUUAUUCUGUGUAGAGAAGGUUGAGAGGGGACACGGUGCCAUGCUGGAUAGCAGUAUGUACAACCCCAAUGUUCUACUAGAUCUGGAAUAUUGUCAUUUUAGGGAAUAUUAGUGUGCAUGUACUGUAUUACUGUAAAUGUCAUAAAUGAGUCUGUAAUGCACUAUAUUCAAUGACUGAAUUACAUGCGCAUUGUUUUUCCUGAGAAUGCUUUAUAAAAUACAUUUUCAUUUCUUGAAAAGUAAUUAUAACUUAAAUUGAAUUACUGCUUUUGUAACCUGGUCUUAAAUCUUAAAUGUUCCUUUGAGAAAAUUGAUAACUUCCUUAUUCCUAAUCUGACCAUUCUACCGUACAUUGUACAUCAAUCAACAGCAUUAUAGAUGUUGGGACUAGACUCUUGUAGGUUUUAGUCAUUUGUGCUCUGUCUCCAUGCCGCUCCAGCAGGAUGUCAGUCCAACAAUAAUAAAUCCUUGAAGACACCAAGACACUCAGUCCUACUACACACUGCAGGAGGAAGUACUGUAGUUCUGGAUACAGAUUCCAGUCCACAACAAUUUCAUUUUUGUUUACGGCAUCAACAAUCUACUCCGAUCCGAUGGCAAUAUUUACUUCAAUGUUUAUGCAUAUCCAUUUCCUGAGAUGUAACCAAUGAUGCCUUGGAGUACGUGGGUGAACUUGCCUUGGUGGGUUUCUCUUGUCUUGUUUGGAGGCGAGAGGGCAGAGCCUUGGGAGUUAAAAUAUAAUAUAAAUUUCAACUCCAAUAAGCUGCAGCUGUAUUUCCCCUCCAGCAAUUCAAUUUAGUAUCUCAGACCCUUAUGGUGUUCGGUAGAUGACGGUCUUUAGUAGAAAACAUGUCUCUUUGUGACCGCCUGUGUUUAUGUCUGUUGAUUUGCUGUCAAAUUAGUCUUUUACCAUAUUUUCACUUUGUCCUCUUUUCAUGUCGAGCGGCAGGAGCUGUGAUGGUUCGGACUGUCGCCUCGCAGCAAGGAGUUCCUUAACCACCCAGCGGCCUUUCUGUGUGGAGUCUGCAUGUUCUCCCCGUGUCGGCGUGGUUUCUCUGCGGCUUCUCUGACCCAAAGCUCUACAGCUACCCACCAAGAAACAAAGAAAAGCCUCGUUAUGUCAUUGCGGUGUUGACUCAAGAGGGCAGCAGCACAUCCAUUGAACCUGCCUCCAUUUCUGCUGCAGGAAGAGUUGGUGGCUCUAAAAAGAAAUAAAUGUCAUGAGAUCCUACAAAUCCUCAGGAUUCAUCCUCUGAGCCUUAAAGAUAUCUGUAACUAUUUAAGUGCCCUUAAAUGGGAGAUGAGAUAUCUGAGUGUGGUCAGAAUCUUUGGUCCAAACUUCAUUGCCGUCCUCAGAGCUGCACUUCUCAACAAACAUGCUCUCCAGGAAUAACAGCACACCCAUCUUCCCCCUGGGGCCAACGCAAUCUUUUAAAGGUCACGCCGGCGUAUAACGCAGGGAGACGGUGAAUAAGGGGGGAGGGGAGAGAGAAUUAUUGGACUGAUCAGGGGUUGGGGGGGUUAAGAAGAGGGGAGUAAAGGCAACCAGUGAGUAAAGAAGAACCUCAUAGCAAACCGCAAUCAUCCCUCUGCCUUCAAGGUCGGGUGGGGGAGGACAGAUUAUCUUUCCGUCGAGGUUGGAAAUAGUUCAGCGCGAGAGGAUGGGGGAGAAGGGGAAGAAUGGAGGAGGAGGUGGAGGAGGAGGAGGAGAGGACUGAGGAGCAGGAUGGAAGAGGAGGAGGAGAGGACUGAGGAGCAGGAUGAAGGAGGAGAGGACUGAGGAGCAGGAUGGAGGAGGAGGAGGAGGAGGAGGAGAGGACUGAGGAGCAGGAUGGAGGAGGAGGAGGAGAAGGAGAGGACUGAGGAGCGGGAUGGAGGAGGAGGAGGAGAAGGAGAGGACUGAGG